GCAGGUUACGCCCUCUCUGAGUGGCUGAAGCGGCUGGUGUGGCGUUGCUGCAAAAUGGGAAAGCCUUGCAUCCAGGAAAUGUGCCCUCAGGGAAGUGAGGCAAGUUUUCAUUGUGCUAACAUUUUAACAAACUGUUUUCAUGGCUUUUUUGGCAAGAGGAAACGAAACAAGCCAAACUGAGCAGAUGUGCCUAAAUGUGCAGAAGUGAAGCCCAUAUGACUUUUGUUUAGGUUGGAUUCCUUGCUGUUUGUCAGCAUACCAUCCAUGGGAGCAGUGCUUCAGAUCUUGAUGUACUAAUGGCUUCAGACAUAGACUACAGAAUUCCAGACUUUUGAGGUAGCAGGAGCUGUGAAAACUUAGAACUUGAACAGUACACGCCACUGGGUAACACAAAAGUGAAAGAACCUUUUGGAAGGCUGGUCUUAUGAGAAAAGCAGAAGAACUGGAAGAGGAAGGCUUUGCUCUACAAGUACUCUUAAGGGAUUUCCCAAUAAUUCUUGAAAUGUCAACAGAAUUAUAUUUGCCUUAUGUUUAGCACACCGUAUUUAGAUGGGCCUGUGUGCCAACUCAGUUUUCUGAUUUUCUUUUUCCUACUUAAAAUGUCUAUAAUGUAAAGCUUUAACUGAUUUGGGGGAGCUGGCCAACCACUUUGACUCUCUCCUCUGCUGGGGGCCUAAUAAACUUUCUGAAACUUUCUUGUU